rnacentral:rRNA from 1 species
GACGAACGCUGGCGGCGUGCUUAACACAUGCAAGUCGAACGAGUGGCGAACGGGUGAGUAAUACGUGGGUAACCUGCCCUCUUUUUGGGAUAAGCCUUGGAAACGGGGUCUAAUACCGAAUAAAGGGGGAUGGGCUCGCGGCCUAUCAGCUUGUUGGUGGGGUGAUGGCCUACCAAGGCGGUGACGGGUAGCCGGCCUGAGAGGGUGAACGGCCACAAUGGGACUGGGGUUCGGGCCCGGCUCCUUCGGGGGGGAACAGUGGGGGUAAUGGCACAAUGGGGGGAAGCCCUGUUCAGCGGAGGCGCGUGGGGGAUUGAGGCUUUCGGGUUGUAAACCUCUUUCGCCAUCGAACGGGUAGGUGGAGAAGAAGCGCCGGCUAACUACGUGCCAGCAGCCGCGGUAAUUC